rnacentral:rRNA from 1 species
GUAGGUGGCAAGCGUUGUCCGGAAUUAUUGGGCGUAAAGCGCGCGCAGGCGGUCCUUUAAGUCUGAUGUGAAAUCCCACGGCUCAACCGUGGAAGGUCAUUGGAAACUGGGGGACUUGAGUACAGAAGAGGAAAGCGGAAUUCCAAGUGUAGCGGUGAAAUGCGUAGAGAUUUGGAGGAACACCAGUGGCGAAGGCGGCUUUCUGGUCUGUAACUGACGCUGAGGCGCGAAAGCGUGGGGAGCAAACAGGAUUAGAUACCCUGGUAGUCCACGCCGUAAACGAUGAGUGCUAAGUGUUAGGGGGUUUCCCGCCCCCCUUAGUGCUGCAGCUAACGCAUUAAGCACUCCGCCUGGGGAGUACGGUCGCAAGACUG